rnacentral:rRNA from 1 species
GCCCACGGCCAUACCACCCUGAACACGCCCGAUCUCGUCUGAUCUUGGAAGCUAAGCAGGGUUGGGCCUGGUUAGUACUUGGAUGUUAGACCGCCUGGGAAUACCAGGUGUUGUAGGCU